GCCGCUCUAGGCCAACCCUCGAAGGCCGAGGUCCUCCGACGUUGACGUGCUCCGCCCCAGCGGUGCGUUUGCCGGGUGGCGCGUGCGCGUCUUGCUCCGCUGCGGGCGGUUAACGGUCGCGCUCGCGCCGCUCUUCCCUCUCUCCCUCCCCCUCCCCCCCCUCAGCCUCUGCUCGCGCGGGGCUGCCGGGGUUCGGUGCCUUCGAGAAGUUUCCCUCGCUCAGGGCUGAGGUGACCGUUAGGGAGUCUCGACAGCCCCCAUGCACCUGCCGCGUCAGCCUUCCACGGGAGUCUCGUUUCCUUAAGAAAUCGGAAUUCAGCCACGAUUCAUCCUUAGGAGGAGCCAAGUCCAAACUCCAAAGACCGGGAGCUGACUUAAAGUUCUUUACUGGAGUCUGCAUGCUUUUAGUAGAAGGAAGCAGAAGCCUGGAAGGCAGCAGGAAUGCCAUAGCUCCAUGUGUGUAACACUGCAG
rnacentral:lncRNA from 1 species